ensembl:lncRNA
GAGAGAGAGAGAGAAUAUUAUGUGAAUAAAUUAUAUAUAAAAAUUUUAAACAACUGCUACAAUACUCGAGAAAGCCAUCAUUUUUACUUUCAUCAAUAUAAAAUAAUAUCUAUAAGACUGAAUGAGUAAUUGAUUCCGGGAGAAACAGCGCGUGCCACUAUUGGAUGUGACGUCACAGGUCAGGGCGACGGCUUUAAGGCUUUUGCUUGUUCGUAAAUGUUUGUUUUCAAAGUUUUAGAAUGUUUAUUUUCGAACGUUUAGGAGGGUAUAUAAAGCGAGACGGAGCCAUAGCACUUCAGUUCUAAAUCUCUGUCUCUCUGGACUACACGUGCGAUUUUCACUCUCUGACCGUUUUCUACACGGCGAUCUGCAAUCAACUCCUGAACCCAGUCUCCGCUACGAUCAUCCCGGCAGCACUUGCGGCGUCGCAGCGAUGAUCUUUAGGAGAAAAGAGUUGCCGCAGCUCCUGGAGGAUGAGCCUGAGACUGGAGGGGGCGGACUGUCUGACAGCAACGGAACAUGGACGGAAGAAACUCCGUCUGACCUGCUGCUUGCCAGUGAGCUCCAUUACAACACCGUAGAGGUUAGUGACAAUGAGGAGUCCUACAGUCCUGAUCAGGUAGGUAUCAAUUGUUUUGCUGUGGAGGGUGUCCACCAGGGGAGGAGACAGAGGGAGCAGAUGAGUGAGGACAACACCGAAGAGGCCCCUCCUAGAAGAAGACAGCGUUUGGAGCAAGACGACGAUAUCUAUGAGGUGAUUGACCUCACCAAUUCGGAGAGGAGCUUAUCCCCUUCAGGGCACUUAUCCCCUACCUUGCCAUUCUUACCAGCUGUAGAAGCUCCAUCCAGCAGUGAGCAUUUCUGGUGGAUGGGUGUUGAAGAGGACAACGAUGAAGAGGACCCUCCUAGAAGUAGACAACAUGAGGAGCAAGAAGACACUGAAAAUGAUUUGGAAAUUGAUUUGAUUUUUCACUUCUUGUCGUUAGUAGAAUUACAUUAGUUUUCUAGUUACACUUAACUAGUAGUAUAGUACUAGCUAAGCUACCAUGAGGUAAGCUCCAGCUCCAGUCUUAGGUCAUCUCCAGUCAUCUCCGGUCUCAAUCCGGUUUCCUCCCCCAGUCCAAAGACAUGCAUGGUAGGCUGAUUGGCAUGUCCAAAGUGUCCGUAGUGUAUGAAUGGGUGUGUGAUUGUGUAUUUUAUUGUGCCUGCGAUGGAUUGGCACCCUGUCCAGGGUGUACCCCGCCUUGUGCCCCAUGCUCCCUGGGAUAGGCUCCAGGUUUAGAAGAUGGAUGGGUGGAUGGAUAUAUUAAAUGUGUAGGCUAGACAUGUUAGUUCUAAAAUAGGGUAUGUCUAUUAUUAUUAUGUUUAUUAAAUACAAUAAACUUUUUAUUAAAAAUUGCAUUUGUUAAAUCUGAAAUAAUCAAUAAACAAUUAUUUUUUUCAUAAAAAUAUGUCUCAAGUG